rnacentral:rRNA from 1 species
CCGCACGGGUGAGUAACACGUAUCCAACCUGCCGUCUACUCUUGGCCAGCCUUCUGAAAGGAAGAUUAAUCCAGGAUGGCAUCAUGAGUUCACAUGUCCGCAUGAUUAAAGGUUAUUUUCCGGUAGACGAUGGGGAUGCGUUCCAUUAGAUAGUAGGCGGGGUAACGGCCCACCUAGUCAACGAUGGAUAGGGGUUCUGAGAGGAAGGUCCCCCACAUUGGAACUGAGACACGGUCCAA